AUAGUUCAUCUUGGCCUUUUGGCUAAGAUCAAGUAUAGUAUCACUUGUCAAACUUUGCAACGGAUCGCAGUGAUGGCUAUGGCAAAUUCCAAAAUGCGAAGUUCUCUGUUUUUGAUAUUGAUAGAUUUUAUAGAUCUAUAUUUGCAAGAGUACCAUAGAUCUAGAAAACACAUU